UACGAAGGGGGCUAGCGUUGCUCGGAAUCACUGGGCGUAAAGGGUGCGUGGGCGGGUCUUUAAGUCAGGGGUGAAAUCCUGGAGCUCAACUCCAGAACUGCCUUUGAUACUGAAGAUCUUGAGUUCGGGAGAGGUGAGUGGAACUGCGAGUGUAGAGGUGAAAUUCGUAGAUAUUCGCAAGAACACCAGUGGCGAAGGCGGCUCACUGGCCCGAUACUGACGCUAAGGCACGAAAGCGUGGGGAGCAAACAGG
rnacentral:rRNA from 1 species